UGACGCUGCUGAAGUGCAGCUCGAAUGCAGAUGAUGGGACACCUGUCCUGCUGGAAUCAGAGGCGCGCCCGCAGGAGCGAGCGUGGGAAGCGAGCGCGCGCUCUGAGAGGGGCGCACAGACGGAUAUUACCGCCUUUACCGCAUUACAGAAUCCCACUGCAUCAUAUGUGGCCAAACCAACAGCGACACAGUAGGUGACAUGAGGGCAAGCAGGGAGUAAAAAGGGGUCCAGACGUACACGAGAUUGAGACGCGGGUCGAAAUGGAGAGAUCAAGCUCAGAGGGAAAGCCUGGAGGAGGGGAGAGUCUUUCAGCCCAGCCUGAGAAACGCUACAUCCCCCCCCCCACCCCAAGCUGAGAGCAGGCGGUAUCCAGCUCAGAGAGGGGGAGGACAGCACACCCAACUGCCUCGGUUUUACAUAUGUCAUGCGUUUGUGUUUUUCCUUGAUGUGUGUAUGCGUUUUUUGUUCUGUGGAGCACGUGUGUGUAGAUCUUUUUGAAAGGGGGCAGGGGUCUGCCCACAUGGUGAUUAAUUAUUCAUAAGGUGGGCGGGGAUAAGUCAAAGUAGGAGGUGGCAGACGGGGGAAUCUGUGUUUGCUGUGCGUGAGGGAGGCAGAAAGAGAGAGGGAACAUCAGAGACAGUUAGUAAGGGCUUGAGGUAAGGAUGCACAGAGGCAUAACAGCCCCCAGAAGACACGUCAUUAAGGAACUACACACAUGCUUUGCUUCUUGAUGGCACAGGCUGUAAGCCACAGUGACCUACUCCUCUAGUCAAAGGAUUUUAAAGCAAGCAAACAGCCAGCACAAAUAAAUGAGGAAUCUACUCUAUUAGAGAUGACAGGCCAGCUCACUCUUACCAGUUACAGAGACCUUCUUGCCUAAGAGGUAAAUUGGAUUUGUUUUCUUAUGUAUUCAAAAGCAGACUACAGAGGGCUGAUAAUUGCCUUUUUUUUGUUUCUGGAAGGAGAGAGAGGGCUUGCCAGCAUGUGUCUUUUUUCUUUCAUUCAUUCUUAUGUGUGUUUCAUCCCACAUGCUGACCGCGUUACACCGGGCU
rnacentral:lncRNA from 1 species